AACGAACGCUGGCGGCAGGCUUAACACAUGCAAGUCGAACGGGUGCAGCAAUGCAUCAGUGGCAGACGGGUGAGUAACACGUGGGAACCUUCCUAGGGGUACGGAACAACUCAGGGAAACUUGAGCUAAUACCGUAUACGUUCGUGAGGAGAAAGAUUUAUCGCCCUUAGACGGGCCCGCGUCGGAUUAGCUAGUUGGUGGGGUAACGGCCUACCAAGGCGACGAUCCGUCGCUGAUCUUAGAGGAUGAUCAGCCACACUGGGACUGAGACACGGCCCAGACUCCUACGGGAGGCAGCAGUGGGGAAUCUUGGACAAUGGGGGCGACCCUGAUCCAGCCAUGCCGCGUGAGUGAAGAAGGUCUUCGGAUUGUAAAGCUCUUUUGCCAGGGACGAUAAUGACGGUACCUGGAGAAUAAGCCCCGGCAAACUUCGUGCCAGCCGCCGCGGUAACAC
rnacentral:rRNA from 1 species